rnacentral:tRNA from 6 species
GGAGGGUUGACCGAGCGGCCGAAGGUGACGGUCUUGAAAACCGUUGUGUCCUCACGGGCACCAAGGGUUCAAAUCCCUUACCCUCCGCCA